ensembl:lncRNA
UGUAACCAUUGGGGUUUAGGCAGUAGUGUGGGUGGUGUUGUGUCCAUGUGUAACCAUUGGGGUUUAGGCAGUAGUGUGUGUGUGUUGUGUCCAUGUGUAACCAUUGGGGUUUAGGCAGUAUAGUGUGUGUGUGUUGUGUCCAUGUGUAACCAUUGGGGUUUAGGCAGUAGUGUGGGUGGUGUUGUGUCCAUGUGUAACCAUUGGGGUUUAGGCAGUAGUGUGUGUGUGUGUUGUGGAGCAUUAGUGUGUGUGUGUGUGUGUGUGUGUGUGUGUGUGGUGUGGAGCAUUAGUGUGUGUGUGUGGUGUGGAGCAAUAGUGUGUGUGUGUGUGUGGUGUGGAGCAUUAGUGUGUGUGUGUGGUGUGGAGCAAUAGUGUGUGUGUGUUGUGUCCAUGUGUAACCAUUAGGUGUUUAAGCAGUA